GUAUUAUAUAAGCUUUAGGUUGGCAAGUCACAACUGCUUUAAUCACUUUUUUGCCUAAACCUAUGGCCUCCAACAUUUUCACGGGGAUUGGAGCUAUUUUGGUGUAAAAAAAAGGUGCUAUAGAGUUUUCCUUAUUGGAGGGCUGCUUGCAGGCAUGAACCCCCCCCAAUAAACCUUUAAACUCUGUGUACUCCCACGCGAAGCCCAGCGCAUGCCAAGAAGAGGCAGUGUGUUAGUUGAACCUGGCUCAUCCAGCGUCUGUAUAGAUCAGACACUUCAGUGGGACUUUAUCUGAUUUAAUCAGCUUUAGAUAAAAAACAUCAAAAAGUCUGACUGAAGCACCUGAUCUAUACAGACCCUGUGGAGCUGGGUUCAAUUAACCUGUUGCUGCUUCUGGUAAAGCACUUCUCUCUCACCCCACCCCCAUGUCUGUCAGCACCCUUUAUUGCCUAAACUUAGGCUUUCACAGGUGUUGGAGUUAUUUUGGUGUAAAAAAAAGUAUUAUAGAGUUUCUCUUAUUUAGUCUAGAAUUGUUUAACAUCUAGUUCUGGGCAAGAGAGUCCAACCUGCUCUGCAGGCUCUGAUUGCCUCACGGCCUUUCAGAAUUUUUAUGCCUCUGGUCAGACAGGAGGCGGCACUCAAAGCAGGAGUGGGGUUGAAGGCAGCUAUCUUCCCAUUGUCCCCUCCCUGUUACAACACAGCUGGUUCUUUAGAAAUGGAGCUCUAUGAACGGAUGGGCCUCAGCUUGCGUAGCAACGGCUUGUGGGAGCUAAUCCCUAAGAAAUGCUGGAAGACAAAACCAAUAUGGCAAGUGUAUGAAAGCCUUUUUUUGGGUGGGAAGUCUGAUUGUCAGGAGGGGAAAUUUUUUUGCGCGUGGAAGUAAAUACAUCAUGGCUUUUGUAGGAGGGUACAGAAGGAGAAAACUUUAUGGGGGUUAUUUUGCUUAAGGAAAGCCAAUGUCUUACUAUCUUAGGAGAGGGAGAUAGACAGUAAAGACACAACAAAUGGACCCUUCCAAAAAUGUCACUGAUUGGGAACUGGUUCAUGAUUGUGUGAAGUGCUGUGGCUCUGAAACCAGGGGAUGGAGUGACAACCCAGCUCAGCACGUCAGACAGUGGGAUGGGGAGGGAGUGCUUGCACCCAUGCUUUGGGUAUCCCAGGGGCUUGAUGAUUUGUGGCUAGGGGUAUUUGCACCUUCUGCUUUCUCAUCUCCCCUAAAUGGGGUUUCUAUCAGCCUACAAAGGACCAAAGGGUGCCUAUACAUGGGCAGGGAGGCUGCUCCGAUGCACUGUAAUUCCAGCAUGUCGGAGUAGACUCGAUUAAUUGAGUCUGCGGGAGUGUGACAAUAACUAUGCUCCAGCAGCCUCUUGCAUCUCGUGUAUCAGCAUCCCUACACUUCAAAAUGGUGGUAGGGGUGCCUUAUCUAAAGCUCGCCACCACUUUGAAGUGCAGGGACGCUGAUGCGUGAGACACUCCAGGCACUUUAAUUAGAGUGGCUCCAAGGGUGGUCAAGUAGGAGGGAGGGCACCGUUCGUUUCAUAGAUUUCAUAGACAUUAGGGCUGGAAGGGACCUCGGAAGGUCAUUGAGUCCAGCCCCCUGCCCAAAGGGCAGGAAGUCAGCUGGUGUCAUAGGAUCCCAGCAAGUUAAGCAUCCAAAUUUCUCUUGAAGGUGUUCAGUGUAGGUGCUUGGACCACCUCCGAUGGCAGGCUAUUCUAGACCUUGGGGGCUUGGACAGUAAAGAAAUUCUUCCUUAUAUCCAGCCUGAAACAGUCUUGCAGUAGUUUAUAACUGUUCGACCUUGUCAUCCCUUGGGGUGCUCUGGUGAACAAACGUUCCCUCAGACACUGGUGGUUACCCCUGAUAAACUUAUAGGUGGCCAUCAGAUCACUCCUGAGCCUGUGCUUUUCCAGGCUAAAAAGCCCCAUAGCUCUCAGCCUGUCAUCGUAAGGUCUGUUUUCCUGACCUCUGAUCAUGUGUGUGGCUCUUCUCUGGACUCUCUCAAGCUUCUCCACAUCCUUCGUGAAUUGUGGGGCCCAAAACUGGAUGCAGUACUCCAGCUGCAGCCUCAUCAAGGCCGAGUACAAGGGGAGAAUGACAUCUGGGGAUUUGCUUGAGAAGUAUCUAUGGAUGCAAGCCAGCGUUUUGCUCGCUUUACUAGCCGCAACAUCGCAUUGAAGGCUCAUGUUCAUCUUGUGGUCAAUGGAGGUGAAUAAGUUAUCUUGCUGGGAUCCUAUGACCCCAGCUGACUUCCUGCCCUUUAGGUGGGGGGCUGGACUCAAUGAUCUUCCAAGGUCCCUUCCAGCCCUAAUGUCUAUGAAAUAUAUGAAAUCCCGCCCUCCAUCCUUUCUAGGCCUUUCUUUUUAGCCUCAAGAGGUCUGCUAGAUACCUGCAGAGCCGGGGCGGCUGCUGUGCCCUCUUGCUUCCUUUCCUCCGAGAUGGAAUAGAAUUAGCUUGUGCAUUGAGGAUCGCUCCUUUGAGGAGCAACCACUCUUCCUGAACUCCCCUCCCCCUAGAGUCGUAGUCCCUUAGGGCCUCACUGACAAGCCUCCUGAGGUUGUCAAAGUCAGCUUUCCUGACGGUUGAUAGAUAGCUUUUAUCAAACAAGCAGUGCAAUGGAGCUCACUCAUAAAAAGUGCCAGGAAAAGGAACAAAAAAGAGGAAUCUAGUUACAGUCAGAUUACUAGCCCACAGGAAAGAGACUGAAAGAGGCCCAGUAACUCCAAAGGGCAGUGACUAGAGGGGAAAAACAUCUGCAUAUCACAGAUAAGACCAAACUAUUUCAAGAAUUCUAAUUUAUGAAGAGCUCUCAUGUCUAAAAGGAGUAGUUUCUUUUGGAGAAGUGAGUGAGUUUGUUGAAGCUGGAACACUUCAGAACAAAGAAGGAUUAUUCUGACCAUUAGUUUUUACAGUGAAACUAAGUGGUGUUAUAUCCUACUACUAUUAAUUACUCUUUAAUAUAGUUGAGCUACACUAUAUUCUUGCUAACCUGGGUCUUUGCCUUAUUUUUGCCAGGCUGAAAAUAAAGGUGUUUGUAAAUUUUGAACCCUUUGUAUGAGCGUCUCUUGAAGAGAACCUGUUAGAAAACUUUAACAGGGUGAACAGGUGAAAAAGAUUCAAAUGGACCCUUGGAUCAUUCCAACCAAUGUGAGAGAUUGAUUGAUUAAUUGACAAGACAAGAUUAAUAGUAAAGCAUAAUCUUAAGGGAUGGGUCUUGAGUGCCAUGAAGCGAAGCUGGCCAGGCUUGCGGUCUCAUUUUAAGGAGAAAAACUCAGAUAUGCUCCUUAAAGGAGACAAACAUGGGAAACCAUGGGUUCCCCCUUCCAAACUGGCAGAGUUCCAGCCUGCAAGGGGCUGGGGGGAGCAGGAGGAAGGCAUUCAAGCAGAAGGUGCCAUGUGCAUAUGUACACCUGGAGAUCUGCUCCUUCAGGUAGAAUCUCCUUCCUGGAUGAUGGCAGCUCCUGUUGUUUGAAUCCAUGCUUGGGUUUGAAUGCAUGCAAGCCCUAAGGAGACACUCACUUGCUGAUUCCCUAGUGCUUGUACAUUUAACUGGUCAUCUAAUUCAUUGGGUAUAUUUACAUGUGCUCCAGGGCUGUGGGGGGUGCUUUGAUUAGAGAGGCUGUCAGGUAUUCAGUAUCUUGUGUAUUCAGCAUGCCAUACUUCAAAAUGGCAGCCGGGGCACUUUAACUAAAGCUUGUUCAAUGAGCUUUAGUUAAAGCUUCACUGUGACAGUCAGGAGUUGUGCCUGCUUGAAGUGAAGUGCUUGCUGAGUGCCCCGUGAUGGAGCAGGACCAGGUGUUUCCUGUUGUGUGUUUGUGGUUUGCAGAAUGUAUUAUAGCUAAGAGGUUUAGUUAAAAUUCAAAGAAAACUGUUAUGAGAACUUGUAAGCAGGUAAGUAGUGGCGCAGCUAAAAUUGACUUUAUAUGGUGUAACGCAAAUGCUUGUACUGCUAUUGGGUGGCUAUAUAAGGAAAGGUCUUCGUGUAAGAUUGUGAAUGGCUAUGAGCCAACAGCGUAGCUUAGAAGGUUAUACAUUUGCUGGCACGUCCAGGAAUUGGGGGAAGGAAGACACAGCAUUGUAAAGGAAGCUACCAUUUUGAAGAUUGGCUGCUGACCUGGGUUUGGCAGGCUGGCGGAUCUCAAGGAGCCUGAGGACCGAAAACCAGGGUCCUUCCCGGUACCCCUUGGACAGCGUAGCUCGGGGACGCCUGACUUUACUGAGCUUUAUCAAGAGACUUGUCAUACAUCAGGCAUCAAAGGGGACUGCCAAUAAGUUAUUGAUGUGAAAUAUUACUGUCUGUUAUUGUUGUCUUGUUUAUACUAUGCGUAGAUGUGCGUAUGUUAAAUCAAUAAACCUUUCUUACCUUUUCA